GGUGGUCGUACGGUGGCCGUACGCUCGGAUGUGACCCGGGUCGGUGUGGGUUCGAUUCCCCCGAUCACCCCCA
rnacentral:tRNA from 2 species